GGAAUUUUCCGCAAUGGGCGAAAGCCUGACGCAGCAACGCCGCGUGAGUGAUGAAGGCCUUCGGGUCGUAAAGCUCUGUCGCAGGAGGGCGGUGGGAUGACGGUACUCUGCAAGAAAGCCCCGGCCAACUCCGUGCCAGCAGCCGCGGUAAAACGGAGGGGGCGAGCGUUGUUCGGAAUUACUGGGCGUAAAGGGCGCGUAGGCGGUCAUGCAAGUCGGGGGUGGAAGCCCACGGCUUAACCGUGGAAUUGCCUUCGAAACUGCAUGACCUGAGUACGGAAGAGGAGAGCGGAAUUCCCAGUGUAGCGGUGAAAUGCGUAGAUAUUGGGAGGAACACCGGUGGCGAAGGCGGCUCUCUGGUCCGAAACUGACGCUGAGGCGCGAAAGCUAGGGGAGCAAACGGGAUUAGAUACCCCAGUAGUC
rnacentral:rRNA from 1 species